AAUUCCCAAGAUCUUCAUACUGUAAACUAGUCUCACAACUUCAAAAUUUUGAUCAACGAUGCAAUUGGUUUUCUAAUCGAUCAGACGUGGUGAUUUCUCAACUCACUUCUCAUCUAUUGUUCUAUGGUCAGCAAUAAAAACAAUCUCAUACUACAUCUUUAAGAAAUCAUAGCAACACUUUCACAUCUUUAGGCUGUGGGUUUCAAGCACAACAAUCUAAAGACCAAAACCAAGGACACUCAAACAAGUGUACAUCUGC
rnacentral:lncRNA from 1 species